rnacentral:rRNA from 1 species
UGCGUAGGCGGACUAAUAAGUCAGUGGUGAAAUCUCUCGGCUCAACCGGGAAACUGCCAUUGAUACUGUUAGUCUUGAGUUCGGUUGAGGUAGGCGGAGUGUGUAAUGUAGCGGUGAAAUGCUUAGAUAUUACACAGAACACCAAUUGCGUAGGCAGCUUACUAGACCGACACUGACGCUGAGGCACGAAAGCGUGGGUAGCGAACAGGAUUAGAUACCCUGGUAGUCC